rnacentral:rRNA from 1 species
CCUACGGGAGGCAGCAGUGAGGAAUAUUGGUCAAUGGCCGGAAGGCUGAACCAGCCAUGCCGCGUGAAGGUCAGUGCCCUAUGGGCGUUAAACUUCUUUUGUGCGGGAGCAAUAAUGGUCACGUGUGGCCAGACGAGAGUACCGUACGAAUAAGCAUCGGCUAAACCCGUGCCAGCAGCCGCGGUAAUACGGGGGAUGCAAGCGUUUUCCGGAUUUAUUGGGGUUAAAGGGUGCGUAGGCUGUGAGGUAAGUCAGCGGUGAAAUGCCCCCGCUCAACGGGGUGAAGUGCCAUUGAUACUGCCUUGCUGGAAUGCGGAUGCCGUGGGAGGAAUGUGUGGUGUAGCGGUGAAAUGCAUAGAUAUCACACAGAACACCGAUUGCGAAGGCAUCUCACGAAUCCGCGAUUGACGCUGAUGCACGAAAGCGUGGGUAUCAAACAGGAUUAGAUACCCGAGUAGUC